CAACGUUUUAGUGCAUUGGCUGGGAACUCCAAGGUCUCCAGGUUACCACCUGGAGGGUCUCAAUAUCCAUGAAGUCUUUCUGAGUCUGUGCGUCUGUCCAUAAACAUCUGAUCCUACUCCGGAAGAACUCAUCUCUUGGGACGAUCGCAGACAGAGGCUUUUUGCCAUGUUUUCAAGAACUCGGUUGAACUUUGGGGAGCACACGAGCCACCACAUCCUCUAUGGGCAACACAUUUGGAAUCCAUUUUGAGGCACAUCAGAGAAUUUCUCCUGGCAUCCUGGCUGGUCCUAGUCACUCCCACUGGAUUAUGUGGAUUCAGCAGAGGCUUGGCUGUUUCUGCUGGAUCAUAACACUGCUGCUGAUUCCUGUUUGGUAUCCUGACACUACUGAACUGGACUGCUGGUGUCCUGGCAACGGAGAUUGGAAUCACCUCAAAGAAUUACUUCUAAACAGGUCCACACCCCCAUGUCCUAUUCACCAUCUUUUUCCCCUACCUUUGAAAGGUGGGCUAGAAGUGGGGUCAAAGCAUUUGGGAAACCUUAUUAAAGCAUGCUUUGAAAAAUCAAA